rnacentral:rRNA from 1 species
GACGAACGCUGGCGGCGUGCUUAACACAUGCAAGUCGAACGGAAAGGCCCUGCUUUUGUGGGGUGCUCGAUUGGCGAACGGGUGAGUAACACGUGUGUAACCUGCCCUUGACUUUGGGAUAACUUCAGGAAACUGGGGCUAAUACCGGAUAGGAGCUCCUGCUGCAUGGUGGGGGUUGGAAAGUUUCGGCGGUUGGGGAUGUACUCGCUGCUUAUCAGCUUGUUGGUGGGGUAGUGGCUUACCAAGGCUUUGACGGGUAGCCGGCCUGAGAGGGUGACCGGCCACAUUGGGACUGAGAUACGGACCAGAAGCCUACGGGAGGCAGCAGUGGGGAAUAUUGCACAAUGGGCGGAAGCCUGAUGCAGCAACGCCGCGUGCGGGAUGACGGCCUUCGGGUUGUAAACCGCUUUCGCCUGUGACGAAGAGUGAGUGACGGUAAUGGGUAAAGAAGCACCGGCUAACUACGUG